GAUGAACGCUAGCGGCAGGCUUAACACAUGCAAGUCGAGGGGUAAGUCAUUUCGGUGACUGAGACCGGCGCACGGGUGCGUAACGCGUAUGUAAUCUACCUUUUACAGGGGGAUAGCCCAGAGAAAUUUGGAUUAAUACCCCAUAGUAUUAUUGAAUGGCAUCAUUUAAUAAUUAAAGUUCCAACGGUAAAAGAUGAGCAUGCGUCCCAUUAGCUAGAUGGUAAGGUAACGGCUUACCAUGGCGACGAUGGGUAGGGGUCCUGAGAGGGAGAUCCCCCACACUGGUACUGAGACACGGACCAGACUCCUACGGGAGGCAGCAGUGAGGAAUAUUGGUCAAUGGGCGCAAGCCUGAACCAGCCAUGCCGCGUGCAGGAUGACGGUCCUAUGGAUUGUAAACUGCUUUUGUACGGGAAGGAACACUCCUACGUGUAGGAACUUGACGGUACCGUAAGAAUAAGGAUCGGCUAACUCCGUGCCAGCCGCCGCGGUAAGAC
rnacentral:rRNA from 1 species